rnacentral:rRNA from 1 species
AGUUUAAAGUUUGAUUCUUGCUUAUAAUUUUUAUAUUAUGAUUAAAAAAUACAUGAAAAUUAUAGUGUUCCUUUAUAUAAUAAAUUAAAAAUUUAAUAUAAUGUAAAUCUCAGUAUUUAAUUUUAAAUAUUAAUUAAAAUUAGAAUUGGUAAUCAUUUUAAUCCUGACCAAAAUUUGUGCCAGCAGUCGCGGUUAUACUUAAAGGGUAAAUAAAUAUAAUUUGGUGUUUAUAGUAAAUUAUAAGUUAAUUAAAAUUUAUUAUUUUUUAUAAAGGGUGAAAUCAGAAUUUAAUAAUAAUAAUAAUUUUAAAGAUAUAACUAAAACAACCUAUAAAUUUUAAUAUAUAAACUAGGAUUA